rnacentral:lncRNA from 1 species
UGGAACUUGCUAUGAUCAUGGACCGGCUGUAUGGUGGUGUGUGUUACGCAGGAAUCGAUACAGAUCCAGAACUCAAAUACCCGAAAGGUGCUGGGCGAGUGGCUUUCUCCAAUCAGCAGAGCUACAUUGCUGCCAUCAGUGCUCGGUUUGUUCAGCUUCAGCAUGGUGACAUUGAUAAACGCGUAAGUGACACACCAGAAGUCAUCUGUGCUUAGUUAUUACUUAGUAGGUGCUGGAGUUAAUAAUAUGGCUCAAACACUUGUAUUUCCCUCUGACUCCUAGGGUUAUAUCUGUAAAAUAUAAAUUUCUUGGUGAACUUUAAGGCAUUACAUAAAAGUGUAGAUAUGAUUCUAAAGCCAUGUCAAAAAUUUUUAUCAGCCUGUAAGUCCCAAC